rnacentral:lncRNA from 1 species
UGUAUCUAAGUAGCGUAGCAAGGGAGGGGUUUGUCAAUCCUAGUAACACCAAGUCUACCAGAUCAUUGUUUUGUCAUAUCGCCUAAAUUUUAAUACUGUAGUAUUUAUUUACAAAUAAAAAGUCCUAGGCCUAGUAAUACAUUAAAGAGGGAACUUCUGUGGUCUAUUUUAGAUAAAAGGGGACAUAUAAUUUUCUCUAUAUAAUGGCAUGGUGCUGAUUUAGCGCUGAUACGACCUUACAACAAUAUUACAUUGUAGUGUUUUCUGCAUGGUUUUGUAUCACUAGUUUCAUGUUGCCUUCACAUUUGAGUCUAUUACUUGUUUUUGUUUUUAUCCUUGAUUAGUAUCAAUUGUUGUAUUGUAGACUUAUAAUUGUGUUAGUAUCAUUUUUUUUUUACAGAAGCUCAAGUGUGAAGUGUGAAGCCGUCAAGUGUGAACCCAAGUGUGAAGCUGUGAAGUCCUACUCAGUUUAGAGUAGCAUAUUGUAGCACAUUUGUGUUGUAAAGAUUGUAAUAGAUUUAUUUAGUCGUAUAUUUGAUCAAUUUUAUGUGUUCUUAGUUCUAUUUCAAAUUCAUUCUUGGAUUGAAAGUGGUCAAAAGACAAUAUAUUACUAUUAAAUUUAGGUUGAUUCUAAGUUUGUGAUGUCACCUGUAUUGGAUCAGAUAUAUUUGUGCCUUCAUAAUGCUAUAGAUCAAAAUGUAAAAAUCUCGAGUCUCAAAAUUUGACAAAAAUUUGAGAUCAGCAUGACAUGUGGGACCAAGUUAUGAUAUUUAUUUAACAAAAUAUGAAAUUUUUGACGAGUGGGACUAAUUUUGAGAUCAACAUGACAUGUGGGACCAGUACAAAAAUAAAAUGGCCAAAAAAGAAAAUUAAUAAAAAGUAAAAGGCCACAAACCAAAAUUCGAAAAAAAUACUAAAGUGGCUGUAAAUAGGAUAAGGCCCAAAAAUAAGCCCAAUAAGAAAAAGCCCAAAAAAAAUAAAACCAGCCCAUGUGAUCAAUUGAAAUGGGUUGGGCUGAUUUCAACCAUGACGUUUUGAUUUCAUCGUAAUUUUGCCACGUAGGACUGCCACGUAGUAGUGAGUUUGAUUGCCAACGACGAUUUAGGAUUGUCGUAAAGGUUACGACAAUCCAGGAAUCGUCGUAAAAGUUACGACAAUUUUGAUCAAAACGUCGCUGCUGUUCAUUCUUGACGCUCCGUUUUCGACGGUUGGUUUUUCGUCGUGAGAUCGUCGUAAAUUAAAAACCGUGACGAUGUAGCAACGAAAAAAUAGCGUCGUGUAUUAGCAUAUUCCUUGUAGUGUUAGUAGCAGGUAUGAGAGUAGUAACUUAGCAAGAUUCCGUAUAUGUAACGCGUAGGCACGUGGAUCAGUAGUGAAUAAUGAUUUAGAUGACAGUGAUCAUAUAACAGUUACACACUAGGGUGACACAGAACCAUAUCCAAUUCAUCAAUAUAAUAUAGGCAUGUAUUCCAUAUAUAGGCAUACGUGCUUGCGAAAAGAACUUGCAUGACAUGUUUUGUCCUACCCUCCCGUGGCAGCAGGGUCCUAUUGGAAACUAAGUGAUAUUAAGGCCUUCCUUUAGUAAAGAACCAGAACAAAGCAUUAACACAUAGUGAAUACAUGAACUCCUCCAACUACCACAAUCGCCGGACAAAAUCCCAAUUAUUGUCACCUUGGGUAUGUGGAUCAAGACACGUAAUAGGUAACUAUGACUUGCAAGAUAGGAUCCAAAUCACUCUUAUAUUCAUGAAAACAUAAUAGGUUCAGAUCUAAAAUCAUGGCACUCGGGCCCUAGUGACAAGCAUUGAGCAUAGCAAAGUCAUAGUAACAUCAGUCUCACAACAUAGUGGAUACUAGGGAUCAAGCCCUAUCAAACUUAACUCAACUACAUGAUCAAUCUCAUCCAAUUCCACUGUUGUCCAGCAAGCCUACAAAGGAAUUACCCACUCUCGGCGGUAAGCAUCAUGCCGGUGUUGAUGGAGAAGGGUUGAUGAUGACGACGACGACGAAUCCCCCUCUCCGGAGCCCCAAACAGACUCUAGAUGAGCCCUCCACAGGAAGAACAAGAGGUGGCGGCGGUUCCGUCUCGUAAAACGCGAUGAAAACUUCUCUCUUAUUUUUUUCUCGGAGAAUAUGAAUUUAUAGGACUGGAAUUAGGGUCGGAGGAGCCUCGAGGGCCCCACAAGCUGUCAGGCCGCCGCCUGGGGGGCACCCUGAUGGCUUGAGCACCCUAGAGCCCCCCCCGGCAGGUUUUCGCUCCAUAAAUCCUUAUAAAUCCCAAAAAUAAUUCACAAAAAGUUCUGUCUGCACAAAAAUAACAAAGUAGUUGUGCUGAAAACAACGUGAGUCCGGGUUAGUUCCAUUCAAAUCAUGCAAAUUAGAGGUAAAAAUGAGAGCAAAAUUGUUUGGAAAAGUAGAUACGUUGGAGACGUAUCAUUGCCUCAUACCCCUAAUAUUCCAAAUUAGGCCUAUCAUAAAUAAGAUAUUUUAAAAGGUCGAGAUAGGCCAGAAAGGCAGAACUUUAGUAUGGACAAUAGGAGUAGCCCCUAACAAAACAACACUGCCCAUUGUUUUAGGAGGGGAAACCCCUACUAGAGUCCCAACUAACUUUUCAUGUACCACAUCUAUGUUGUCACGCAAGACCACUUCAAGAUGGUCAUUAGCAAAAGCUAAGCAACUCUCUUGCUCCCUAACAAUUAAAUCUUUAAUGAUAUCCAACUUACUAGAGAUACCCCCCCUAACCAAAUCAAUCUUAGAAACUUGAUCAAUCAAGUUAUUCGGACCAUUAGAAGGCAAUGAUUUACCUUUGUGUGUUAUAGAGAUUUCCAAGUUAUUUUUCAUCUUGUAAGCAACAACUUUCUCCAUGAUGUUCAUAUUGCCAUGCCCCCGGUAGCAUAUCUGGAUGCCAUAAUUGCCCCCCCCCCACUUAGGAUUCUUGGGUGGAACCUCCUGAACCUGAUUCAGGGAGUCCAGCAACGACCUCUUCAGGCCUGAAAAUUGAAGCAUCUGCAGAGUGUCAGAGGGAAGAGUCCCUAGCAUCACAUCCUCUUUUGAGUCCAUCUCAUCCCUAUAAUCAACCAUAUCAACAGAUUUUGAUAAUGAUUCACAAUAUUCCUUAUUCUCAGAUUUUUCCAACACUCAGGCCCUAAGUUAACAGGGGUAUAAACCCCAAGCUUAUUAUUUUCUCCAAUUAUAACAUUGGGACUAGGCCCAAUUUCAUGAGUAGUCACUCGAUCAAGAGAUCCCUCACCACAGCCAUGUUUCUGUUGGGAGAAACCCCUAGCAGCAGCAACCUCCAUAAUGAAGCUUUCAUGGUCAGCAUUUGAAGAAGGUCCAAAAACAGAAGUUUUGGAUUUACCAGCAGAGCCAUAAUUCCUCUGGCCAGGGAUAUUGGAUUUGUCAAGUUGAUCAAUGGCAGUCUCACCAUCCACAAGAUCAUCAUGCAUCUCAUCCUUGGAUGGUUCAUCCUUAUCCUCCCCAUCUUCCUCAGCACCUCCUGCAUCACCAUCUUCAUCUUGAGAGACAAUAUCAAUAAUAGAGUCCAGACCACCCACCUGUUCAAAGUCCUCAACAGUAAACCCCAUCAAGAACAAUGUCCUCUUCAUUUCAAUGAACCUUUCAAAAGGAAUUUUUGUUGGAUCCCUGCAAGCAAUUUUGACCCUAACAUGCUCAAAAAAGGUUCUGAACAUUCCAUUCCAAUCAACAUCUGUUAAGAACCCAAACAUAGAAGCCACUUGGGAAAAAACUUUCCAAGUACACCAUUUAGGUGGAAUGCCUUCAAUCAGGACCCAAGCUUCCACUAAUUCCCCAAAAGGAUCACAAGCACCUUUCCAUUCAGUCAUCUUAACAACAACAUCUUGAGGGAGGCAGAAACCUGACAGCUCAAUGAGGUCCUCUACUUUCUUCCAUGGUGGAAAUCUAACCAGGAAGGUUUUGUGGGAUAUCUCCAUGAUCUGCCAUGGCCAUUGCUUUGAAUUACAGAAAGUAUUAGUCAAUAGGAUUAGGAGGAGAGCCCUAUCCACAUCAUCUUUGGUGAUAUUCACCACAACAUAAUUAUGGAAAUUAAGCGAGUUGUAUUCAUUAGCAAGAGGUACAUCCACAUGGUAAAAACCAAGCCCCCUUGCUCCACUACCAAAAACGACAGCAGUCGGUUGGAUCUUGGACCAAGCAGCACAGUUGUUAUAAUUAUGAUUCUGCUGACAGAUAAAACAGGAUUUCGGGAUGACACAACUACCAACAUAGUGACUAGGGCCCCCACAGUUGAAGCAAAUCAUAUCCUUGUACCUAGGAUCAAGCGGUUGUUCCACCUCCACCUCCAAGGCCUUGGAAGAUUGGACUUGAGAUGAAGUGGUAGUGGAAGCAGUAGAUUUGGUGGGACUUGGAGCAGGAACAGACUCCUUGGCAACCACAGAGAUUGUCUUACACACACCACCAGAGUUGGCCUUUUGCGCGGCGGCCUUUGUUGGACUAGUCACCCGAGGGCCAGAGCUCCCACCACGACGAUUCACCAUUGGAACACCCUUUUGACAAUCUCCACAAACAAGAGAGAACCAUGACCUAAGCCUUCAUGCACCAGAUCGAUAUAUUUAGGAAGUGCAUCGAAGGGGCAGCACACAGCGGGGUGGCAAUCAGCAGCCAUGAACGAGCCGGGCCUGAGCAGCUGUGAACAGUCCCCUUUCUUACCAACGAAACGGGCCUGAAAAGUGGGUCCCAUCUGUAUGUUGGAAAGAGGUGGAGAAAUCUCACCCCUCUCAAAUGAGCCAUCACCAUUGACGAUCAACGCCGUCGGCAAACGAUCCCCACCAGCCGAGCCCUCAAGUGACCCAGCCAAAGGAUCAUUUGGAACCACAUUCGUAGAAACGAAAUCCAUCUCGAUAGAAUUGUCAAUUCCGUGAGAGGAACCCCUCAAAUUUUCACCACCACAAAAUUUGCUAGCAAAAUCCCUAGAAUCUCUACCGCACCCAGCACGGAACACAAGCAAUCUAGGUUUGAAAGAGGGUGGAAGACGAACAGGAUCCAUACCUUCACCAUCAGCCCAAGGAGGGGGCUCAGGAGCUCGACGAAGCUGACGAAUCUGGGGCGAGAUCAGACAUUGCUGUGGGGGGAAGUGAUACGUCUCCAUCGUAUCUACUUUUCCAAACUCUUUUGCCCUUGUUUUGGACUCUAAUUUGCAUGAUUUGAAUGGAACUAACCUGGACUGACGUUGUUUUCAGCAGAAUUGCCUUGGUGUUGUUUUUGUGCAGAAAUGAAAGUUCUCGGAACGUCCUGAAAAUUUUCGGAGAAUAUUUCUGGAAAAUAGGAAAAAUACGUGUGCAAAGAUCCAUCGGAGGGGAUGGGCCAGUGGGCCACAAGCCCUGUAGCCGCCACCCCUGGUGGCGGCUAGCAAGCUUGUGGGGCCCACGUGGCCCUGCCGCCCCCAAACUCAGCUCUAUAAAUUCACUUUUGUCCCGGAAAAAAUUAGGAGAGAAGAUUUCGUCGCGUUUGUGAUACGGAGGCGCCGCCACAUCCUGUUCUUCAUCUGGAGGGCAAAUCUGGAGUCUGUUUUGGGCUCCGGAGAGGGGAAUCGUCGCCAUCGUCAUCAUCAACCUUCUUCCCUCUCCAAUUCCAUGAAGCUCUUCAUCGUUCGUGAGUAAUCUAUUCGUAGGCUCGCUGGGCGGUGAUGAGUAGGAUGAGAUCUAUCAUGUAAUCGAGUUAGUUUUGACGGGGAUUGAUCCCUAGUAUCCACUAUGUUCUAAGAUUGAUGUUGCUACUACUUUGUCAUGCUUAAUGCUUGUCACUAGGGCCCGAGUGCCAUGAUUUCAGAUCUGAAAUUAUUAUGUUGUCACCAAUAUAUGUGUGUUUUAGAUCCGAUCUUGCAAGUUGUAGUUACCUACUAUGUGUUAUGACCCGGCAACCCCGGAGUGGCAAUAACCGGAAACACUCUCGGUGAUGACCAUAGUUUGAGGAGUUCAUGUGUUCACCAAGUGCUAAUGCGUUGGUCUGGUUCUUUAUUAAAAGGAGAACCUUAAUAUCCCGUAGUUUCCUUUUGGACCCCGGUGCCACGGGAGGGAUGGACAAUACUUUUUCUCGCACCGUUGCCGGGAAAGAAUAUUUCCCGUCCACGGGCAACUUCUGGCGCCAUUGAUACGACAGUUAGGAAUAGUCUGCCGUCAACAGAUCAUUUCUGAAAUUGUUGUGAUCAUAUUACUUUGCUUUUGACACUUUGCUUGCACAUACUAAUCUUUCAGGUGUGGUUGAAUCUGACACAUUCAGCUGCUAAUACUUGAGAAUAUACUUCCGCUUCCCGUCGUGCGAACCAACAAAUUUGGGUUGAAUACUCUACCCUCAAAAACUGCCUCGAUCCCACGCGUUGGUGGGUUAUUGCAAGACAAUUUCUAAUUGUUGAGCAAUCGAGAACAACAUUUUUCUAGCCAUUGCCACGGAUCUGCUAAACAACAUUUUUCUGGCGCCGUUGCCGGGGAGGCGAUUGCUAUAUUCUCUGAGUCACUUGGGAUUUAUAUCUGUCGAUCACUAUGAAGAAUCUGAAGGAUCCAAAAUCAGAGUUUUGCCCUCAACUACGAGGGGAGGUAAGGAAUUGCCAUCUAGCUCUGCACUUGAUUCACCUUUAGUUAUGAGUAAGUUUGCGACAUCACCUCCUGCUAGAAAUCUUGAUAUGUCGCCCGUGCCUGAUGAUGUUAGAGAUGCUAUGCCUGAUACUGCUUUGCCUGAUACUGCUAGAGAUGUUAUGCGUGAUGAUGCUAGAGAUGCUAUGCCUGAUACUGCUUUGCUUGAUACUGCUAGAGAUGCUUUGCCUGAUACUGCUAGAGAUGUUAUGCCUGAUGAUACUAGAGAUGCUAUGCCCGAUACUACUUUGCGUGAUGAUGAUAUGCUUGAUACUGCUAGAGAUACUACUUUGCCUGAUGUUCCACUAGCGGUGUUCCUUGAUGCUCAUAUUGCUAGAGUUACUGCACAUGCUCGUGAUGCUUCUGAAACUGCCGAUACUAUUGAGAUAGAACCUGCUUUUGCUCCUGCUAAAUCUAGCUCUCCUAGAUAUGAAUUGCUUGAUAUACCUGAGGGUUACGUUAUGGAGGGAGAGAUAGCUGAGGAUUUUCUUGCGUGUAAGGAUGCCUGUGACGCUGAGAAAUUACUUCUCAAGUGGAAGGAAAAAAUCUCUGAAAGCUAGGAUGAAAUACGACCCGAAGUUUGCCACUUCACCUAUCUUUAUCACCGAUAAGGAUUAUGAAUUCUCUGUCGACCCUGAGAUAAUCUCUCUAGUCGAAUCUGAUCCUUUCCACGGUUAUGAGUCUGAGACGGUCGUAGCCCAUCUUACCAAACUACACGAUAUAGCCACCCUUUUCUCUAGUGAGGAGAAGAUCCGCCACUACUACAUCCUUAAGCUGUUUCGUUUCUCUUUAGAGGAUGACGCUAAAGCCUAGUUCACCUCUCUUGCUCCUGGAUGUGUGAGUAGUAGCCACCCUUUUCACUAGUGAGGAGAAGAUCCUCCACUACUACAUCCUUAAGUUGUUUCCUUUCUCUUUAAAGGAUGACGCUAAAGCCUGGUUCACCUCUCUUGCUCCUGGAUGUGUGAGUAGUCCCCAGGAUAUGGUCUAUUACUUCUGUGAGAAAUAUUUCCAUGCCCAUAAGAAGCAAGCUGCCUUGCAGGAAAUAUACAACUUUGCUCAACUCCAAGAAGAGAGUCUCCCACAAGCUUGGGGGAAGCUCAUCCAGCUACAAAAUGCUUUUCCUGAUCACCCUCUUAAGAAGAACGAGAUAUUUCAUAUCUUCUAUAACGGACUUACCGAUGCUUCUAGAGACCACCUAGACAGUUGUGUCGGUUGUGUUUUUAGGGAACGAACUAUAGAACAAGCUGAGAUCCUUCUGAAUAACAUCUUGAUCAACGAUAUUGCUUGGACUAUUCCCGAACCACAUUCUAAGCCAACUCCUAAGAAAAGAGGUAUUAUAUUCCUCUGUCCCAAAGAUAUGCAAGAAGCCAAGUAAUCUAUGCAAGAGAAAGGCAUUAGAUCUGAAGAUGUCAAAAAUCUACCACCUAUCGAAGAGAUCUAUGGUCUCGAUAACCCGAUACAAGUAGUAGAAGUGAAUUCUCUGCGUAGGUUUGAUGAGAGUCAUAUUCCUUUUGACAAACCUGCUAGCCUAUGCUUUGAUGAAUUUGACAACUUUGUUGCCAAACAACAGAGUUUCAAUGAUUAUGUUAGUAGACAUUUGGAACAAAGUACUCGUAUGCUUAGCCAUUUAAGUGCUUGUGUAUAUAGAAAUGUCAAUGAUCUGAAGCUUCUGAGUAAACAUGCCUCUAUGAUUACUACUCAGGUAGAACAAGUACUUAAAGCUCAGAAUGACUUGCUCAAUGAAUUAAAUGACAACUCUGUCAGAGUCAUUACUAGAGGAGGCAAAAUGACUCGGGAACCUUUGUAUCCUGAAGGCCAUCCUAAGAGAAUUGAUCAAGAUUCUCAAGGAAUUAAUGCUGAUACACCUAGUCAUCCUAAGGAGAAGAAGAAGGAUGAUAGAAACCUACAUGCCAGUUCACCGAAUACUGUCACACCUGAAGAACCUAAUGAUAUUUCUGCGUCUGAUGCGGAAACACAAUCUGGUGAUGAACAUGAACCUGGUGAUAAUAUGGACAGCGAUGUUCCUAAUAAUGCUCAACCUAGCAAUGAUGAGGAUGUGGAGAUUGAACCUACGGUUAAUCCUGAUAACCCACAACCUAAGAGAUACGAUAAGAAUGACUUCACUACUAGGAAGCAUGGUAAAGAAAGGGAGCCAUGGGUUCAGAGACUUAUGCCCUUUCCUCCUAAGCCAUCCAAGAAAAAGGAUGAUGAGGAUUUUGAGAGCUUUGUUGAGAUGAUAAGACCCGUAUUUUUGCAGAUGCGGUUAACUGAUAUGCUCAAAAUGUCUUCAUAUGCCAAGUACAUGAAAGAUAUCGUGACUAAUAAACGGAAGAUACCAGAUCUUGAGAUCUCCACCAUGCUUGCCAAUUACACUUUCAAAGGUGGAACUCCUAAGAAACUUGGUGAUCCCGGAGUGCCCACUGUACCUUGCUCCAUUAAAGGAAACUACGUAAGAACUGCCUUAUGUGACCUUGGAGCCGGUGUUAGUGUUAUGCCGCUCUCUCUUUAUCGUAGACUUGAAUUGGAUAAGUUGACACCCACUGAAAUUACUUCCGUGAGAAAUAUUUCCCUGCCCAUAAGAAGCAGUGCUCGAUCCCUGGCGACAGCACUUCCGGAGGGAUCCUCGCAUGGGUGUCCUCCCGCGGCGGGGGGAUGUUGAGGCGUGAAGGAUUUGUCGUUCGGUAGAACGCCCACCGUGCCGCCUGCACUGGGUCGGACGAGUCGGUCUCCUGGAUCGCCCAGAAGAGGAGCUCCACAUCCAUACACUCGUCGUCCCCCAUGAAUCGUCAGGACUCGACAAACGUCGUGUAUCAGAUGAUUCCGGUGUGGAUAUCCGACCACUCGCUCCGGUGAGGGAACCGAUCUAACACCACCUUCCUCAUCUCCGUGCACACCUUCGGCGAGUUGUUGUCGAUCAAGGGCAGCGUGACCACCGCAUGGGGUGGCGGUGUCAAUGGCCUGGCCACCUGCAUGACAGAAGCUAGCCGCCGUCUUCGAAUUUGACAACGCCCCCCAUGUGAGAAGGUCGUCGACGAACCGAGGGGAGUGAGCGAGUGAUUCGGUGGGUGGGUGGGAUCAGCGAUGAGAUUUGGUAGUUUAGUCUCCGCCUCUCUUCAUCGGAUCAGACUUUUGAAAGAGUUGGUUAAAGCAUAAAUUCAAUAUGGUAUCAAAAUGAAAAGAUGUUGAGUGUAGAAUCCUGCCAACGCAGUAUUAAGAAGGGAUUUUGUGGCCUACAUCGAUCACAAGUAUUAAGAAGGGAUGCUGAAAUACAUUGUCUGCCUCUUUUCAUCAAUUCAGACUUUUGAAUAAGUCAGAAUAACCAUGAAUUCAAUAUAGCCGUGGGAUAACAAUGUCUCUCUAUGACAAACCAGCCCCACCUGUCAUUUCUUACGCGUAAAUCAAAUCGCAUAAAGUUGGUGUCGCUUUACUGCAUAUAUAUAUAGGAUUAUUAAUAAACCGAUCGGAAGCAAAAAAUAUAUAGGUCCCCAAGAAAGCAAGCAGAGCUUUGGUGGUUCCUUUCUUUCCAAGUUCAUCGAGUUGCUUAAUCUGUCCGGGCCAGCUUGAAACAACAGAUUAGUGCUAGAUUCAGUGCAUUCGGUACCGAACUGCCCAUAAUAGAAUCGUCCCACUUGUUAUUUCCUAACCAAGGGACCGGUGUAGACCUGCCACUGCCAGCCCACAGAAUGGCAUGGAAAAAUACAAGGGAAAGAUCCAAGGCCUGUGAUUGGCCCUUGCCAAGCAGAUGCGUUCAACCGUCUCGGGAAUUGAACCCACUGCCUGCUAUCUGGACAGGCACGCAGGCAGGCAGAUGAAAACAAGUGGAUCGACCAGUGAAAUGACAACACAGUCUAGCUAAGCUAUAUGAGUCGUAGCGUUUGAUUGUGGUCGCUUCCUAAUGCCAACUCCAACGCCCUGACCCAAAUAGACAGUGAUUUUAUUCGUUUUUCGUCCGUCAUUAUGUUUGUGUCCGCUUUUUAAAUGGACAACACAUGCAUACAACGGGAAACAAGUAGCUACCAGCACUAUGAUAAUAUAAUAAUAAAGGAAAGAUGAAUGAGGUGGGCCAGCGAAUUAAAUAAACAGACAAAGGUGGGUGGAUGGAUGUAUGACAAGUCGGCCACGCGAGUCAAGUGCGGAGAGAGAGAGAGAGAGAGCGUGUGUCCGCUUCGUGACCGUGCCGGCGCAUUUCAGUCCUAAAUUUGAGCCAGAAAUGAGUUGGCGCGGACGCAAAACGAACGUGUUUUGAAAAUGGGUCGUGCGUUGGGCCAUCACUUUUGUUCGCACGGACCCAAACGGACGACGACGGAUGAAAUAGGACACCCCAUUGGAGUUGCUCUAACCGUUCCAAACGAAUAAGUAAUCAGGCAACCUUUGUGUCAAAAAGAGUAGAUUACACGAUGCUUUGUGUCAAAAGAAUGAAUUAGUUAAGGCAGAGCUUGAGACCAAGUGCGUCUAGUGGAUUAGACUAGUCAUUAGUGGCGUGCGAGGCGCCACUCAGGAAUGGCGUAUGGUGCAGGACAGCUGAAAAUGCUUGGUUUCAAAGCAGCAGCAACCCAACAAUAUGACAUUAUUCUUCUUUAUACUAAUACGGUGCAGGAAGUAUAUGCCUCUUGUUUAAUGAUGUGAUGUGGAAGUUUGGAAUCGCUUAGCCGUAGAGGGAGGGAAUAAUAACAACCGACCAACCCAGCUAGCUAGGCGUGCAAACGCGACGAGCUUCUUUCGCGGCAAAAACGUAGGAGGACAUGAAUUGUUUCUUGAACGUUUUAUGCUCCUUUUCAUUUUUCAGAUGAAGACACGCUUAGGCUUAUGGUAGGAACAGUCAUCGUCAUGAUCAUCAUCGUCGUCGCCAUCUAUGGUUUGCUAAGGGUGGACGCUAUCGAUAGGUCAACUGGAGGUGACGUGCCAGGACCAGAAAAUGAAAAAGGAAAAUUGUAUGAUAGUACAUCCUUUGAUUGUUACUCCCUUUUUUCUGGUUUAAAAGAUUUAUCUUAAUUUUGUUUUUGUUUAGUCUCAUUUCUAUUGCUCCCAUAAUUUUUAGUGACAUUUCUAUUGCUCCCAUCAUUUUUAGUGACUACAAUCACCCACCAUUAAUUCAAUUCCUCAAGCAUGUGCGAACGCGCCCGAUCAGUGAUCGGAUGUAUCCCUAUAUAUCCAUCUAUGUAGUCAUAAUCCUCACUUUUCCCUCGCAUAUCCGGUCACUUGCACAUGAUUGAUAAAGAUAAAGAAAGAGAAAGAAAAAAUAAAUAAAAAAAGAGAAAAGUUGAUCUAGGAUGAGGUAACGUCCUACGUGACAGACUGCCCGGAUGUGUCCGCGAGCACUCACAUCCUUCCUAUAUUUGAGAUGGAUAUGAGGAUUCGCGGAUAACACAGACGUAUAUGGAUGAUAUGAGUGAUGGGGUUGGAUCUUUUUUUCCUUCUCUCCUGUUCGGUCACUAAUCGGCCGCGUCCCUGGACGUUUAAGGAGGAUUUAGGGAGUCCAGUUGUAGAUGCUCUCACCUGUUUAGGGCUCUUCCAAUGCACAAUUAUUGGCACGGUUUCAUAGUUAUUUCGUUGAUGUGGCAUAUUAUUUAAUGAAGAGAGACUAGAGAAGGUUAUAGCUUAGAGCAUGGUUAAUAAUGUAGCUAAUAAUCGACUAUAUGAUUAUCUAUAGCCAAUCUAGUCAAUAUGUAUAGUAGCUAGUUAAUAAGAAGUACUACAUUAAUAACACGUAGCCAGCCUUACACUCUCAUGGUAUUUUGUAAAGCCGUGCUGCAGCUGGUUGUUAAUCUACAAUCCGUUUUUUUCUCUCUCAUCCAACUUAAUAAAAAUAUUAUAUUUAAUUAUUAUAACCUAGUUACAUCACUUUAUUAUAUUAAAUGAUUUGAACUAAUGUACAAUUCUUGUACGUGGUCAUAAGCAAAAUAAAUUGCUUACCCACAGUGCUAAAAACUGAUUAUAGGUAGGUUCACAUUAGUGAGGAACGAAUUUUUUUUAUCUGCCACUAGUGGCAGACACGAACUACAGCGGCUACUGGUAACUUGAAGUAUGUCCGCGCAGUAGUGAGUUACCCGUGGGUGGCAAAUCUAGUAGGAAACGUUUUCUUGUGUCCACCACUACUAUUUUUGUUGACAUUUUUUAAUGUUAGAGCCUUAGUGUUAUAGGUUUAGGCUUAUGGUCCAAUUAUUUUUCUACAUUAUUAAAGAUACAUCAUUGAAAAUUUCAUGCAAGUGAGUCACUUUUUACUACUCCCUCCGUUUCUAAAUAUAAGUCUUUUUAAAGGUUUCUACUAGAAGACUAUAUACGAAUGUAUAUAGACAUACNNNNNNNNNNNNNNNNNNNNNNNNNNNNNNNNNNNNNNNNNNNNNNNNNNNNNNNNNNNNNNNNNNNNNNNNNNNNNNNNNNNUAUAAUGGUAUGUAUUAAGUGUGGGAAUUUUUGUUCAAGGCCAAUCGACAAAGCAGCGGUAGGCUCACGAGAAAACCUAGCUCGUUCCUUCUCAAAACCUAGUUUCUUCCUCGGAAAUAUUUCAAUUUGUCAACAGCAAGCGUACAUGACAAAUUUUAUGAAACAUUAUCAAAACAAUUUUAUCAUAGACUCUAGAAGUCAUAUCAUGACACCAUGUCAAGUUAUCUCGGGGCUGGUAAUCCCCUCUAGAAACUUCCACAAAAUAAUCGUGAAAUGACAAAAAUAUAGUAGUGCUAGGCACUAGAAAGAACUUGCCACUAAAAACCUAUAUAAUGAGUGGCGAACAUACUCUAGACUCAGCCACUCAUACUUCGGUGAUCCGACGUGGAUAAAAAGAGUCAUUCUAAUUGGUCGAAACUACUCUCAGAGAGAUCGCGAUCCCCAUCAUCGUGUUCAUGUUCUUUCAUUUUUCCUUAAAAGCAUCUACAACCAGACCUAGCAAAUAUGACCCCUAAACGUCCGCGGAUGCAGUUACAUUCCUCAUUUUUUAACUCAUAUGUUCGAUUACUUGCACGUCAUUGAUGAAGAGGAAGAGAGAUAUAAAAAAAGAAUGAAUAAAGAAAAAGAAAAUGUGGUCCGGAAUGGGCUCGCGUCCAACGUGGCGUACUGAGCGGGCGCAUCGCGAGCCCUCAUGUCAUUCCUAUAUUUGAGAUGGAUACGAGAGUUCGCGUAUAGCCUGGGCGCAUAUGGAUGAUAUGAGGGGUCCGGUUGGGCCACUUUUUUCCUUCUAUCAUGUCCGAUCAGUGAAUGGGCGCGUCCGCGGACAUAUAAGGAAUCAUUUGAGGCAUCCGGCUGUAGAUUCUCUAACACAUCUCUCUCUAGAGCCCCCCUCACUCUCCACCCAAGCCAUCUACCUCUCAGUUCCUAGAGUUAUGGCAGCAUGGAGCUCCUCCAGCAUGAAACCAACGGCAAGAUGCUCACUCCUGGUGGAGAUCCGACCUCCUCCAACACAGAUAUGGCAGCACGGUGCUCGUCCGGGAACAUGUCGAUGGAUUCUUGCCUAGAGAAUCCUCUUGUUGCCACCAACCGAUGUUCACAGAUGAUCACCUUUCCAUCAAAACCUUUCUUGGUCAACAUCGGGUGUAAACUAAUGGCCGCUGCAUUAGGCCCUUCCGAGUGCACGGGUGCUAAUGGUGCCACAUGGGUAAGAAAGUGAUGUGGCAAAGCAAUUAAAGAGGGGAGAGAGCAUCAUGAUGAUCCCAGAAAAAAAUGAUGCUAAGCAUCUGAACCUAUGUAAAAUGACUACCAACCAAUGCAUGAAAAAGUUUAAUUAUUAAACAAUUUCAUGAGAAAAGCUUAGCAACAAAAGCUAAGUAUCUAUGCAUUGGGGAGACUGGUUGCUAAGGUUUUUAAUACACUUAGCGCCUUAUCUAAGCACCGACGCAUUGGAAAAGGCCUUAGUGCCCCAAAGUUCGUCCAACCCAGAUCCCAGUGGCGAGUUGCUCGUUUGGCCUCGUCAACUGGGUGCUCAAUCGGCACCUCCUUUCUUCACCAUCGACAGACAUCCAUGAACGGGUGUCUCCUCUUCUCAUCACCACUAGGGUGACACGGGAUGGACCAACACUGGUGCAACAAGACUCAAACCUCGCUCAUAUUCUUUUAAAUGUGGAAAAUGUUCCACUUGUAUUCUACACACUAUUUAGGCUUUGUUCGUUUAACCCCACCCCCGCCGGGAUCUGGCCCAAACCCCGUCGAUCCCUGUGGGUUUCUCCCCGGCUGGGGUCGGAUCCCGGUGUGGCUUAUAACAACCUUCGGUUAGACCCGGUCUGGCUUAUAACAGCCUUCGAUUAGACCCGGUCUGGAUUAAUCCCUUUCCAAAUCCCUCCCAAACCCCGUGGAAACCGCAGGGAAAUGACCCACGCGUCCCAUACUAUGGAAGCAAACCCGUCUCUCUCUCCCCCAAACGCUUUCACUCACCCUGACUCCCUUUCUCGAUUCGGCGACAGCGACGGCGACGGCGAUGACGACGCCGGAGAAGAAUGGACAACAGCAGCGCUACUGGUGGAGAUGGCGGCGGCGUCCUUCCCCAUCCCCUUCCCAUCCUCCUCCCUUCCCCUUCCUCCUCCCCCUCCCCUUCCUUGUCCAACCGGCGCCACCGCAGCCAAUCGCCGUGGCACGAGCUGGGCGGUGAUCCGGAGCAGCCGCGGCGCGAGCUGGGCGGUGAUCCGGAGCAACCACGGCGCGAGUUGUGGCAGCACGAACAAGGCACUGUCGGCGUGAUUCUCUCCGAACAGUAGACUAGUACGCUGUUAGUCCUCUUCUUGAUUGAAAGGUGUAACCGAACGGAAUUAAGACAAGGGAUUGUGCGGAUCUGUGGAGAAGGGGUUGGCCGGGGAUGGGUGACAUGAGGGGAUUCAUCAAAUCCCUGCAGGUGUUGGUUAUCCGUGGGGAAGGAAACCCCAACAACCGAACAAAGCCUUAGGGGUUGGAGAUUCCGGCCGCCACUGCUGACCAAUUACCAGUGGCAGGUCUAGCGCCCGCCGCUCAGGGCAUGUACAUCAGCAAAGACAGCUGGUGUCUAUAACAUAUGUACAUAUCAGCUUUAUAGACUACCAAAAAUAUAACGCUGAAACGGUGGUAUAUGUUAGGCUGGCUGUAACAGUUCAACUACCCGUAAAUAUCUAAGCCACGAACAUGGUCUAAAAGCCCACUACAUCCGACGAAUUCGUACAACGGGAAAUAAGCUAUCUGGAGGCAACGAUUUGUACGGGAAUAGACCGUCAGUAUUUGGGCAAACAUCCUCUAUAGUUUUUACGUUCAUCUCUCUCCCACGUCAUGUAUUUUCCUACGUGGCCUGUGUUACAGAACAGAACCCGCAUAAUGAAACUGCAUAAUUUGAAAAAUAAACAUUCGCGGGCAUGUUCAGAACCACAGUCAUGAUCAUAUAACACUACAUUCAUGAUCAUACAACACUACAUUCAUUAGUACUAAGGGGGAUCACCUACUGGAGCUACAACUGCACUACGCAAAAUGGAGCUCACCGGAGUCGAGCUCGUGCAGUAGUAGAUAGCCUACAUUCAGUCGUCGUCCUCGUCGUCCUCGUUGGAGGAGAUCUCGACGUAGAUGCGCUUCUGCGCAGUAGCUUCGCGGUGUCACUCCUCCACCUUGUGGCCGAAGGCGAAGGCCGACGUGACACCCUGCGCAUAGAGCACGGUGUCGAUCUUCUCCUCCCUCCGGCGGCGCUGCUGGUCCUCUUCGGCCUCCCGUGCACUCCGCGCCAGCAGCACGGGCAGGAGGCUAUCCGCCUCCGCCAGAGGGAGGAAGUCCUCCAGUCCGACGACGGCCCCGACACGUCGCUCCGGCACCGCCUCGGCCUCCGGUUCCAUCUUCACCGACGGGAGAUCUUCGAGCUCCCUUUUCACCGAUGGGACGGAGGAGGACGAGCGGGAGCUCGACGCGAUUGAGCUGCUGCCGGAGAAGAGGCGGCCGCGCGCAUGUUCGUACUCCUCUGUCUCGCGAUGGAGGAGCGACGGCGGCGUCGGAUCUGACGUGACGAGCCCUCUCGGGGUCGUCGUCCCUACGGCUACCGGAGCUGGCCAUGCGCGGUGGUGGAUUGGAGCGGCUACAGUGUCUGUUCUCGCAGGAAAAUGAGCCCAAACCCGUAUAGUCGUCGGAUUUUUUGCGGACCGGCCGUUUUGCGGGGUCUGCUAGAGUUGCUCUAAAGACUUCCUAUCUGUUAUGACAAGGUCAAGCCGCCUCUAAUAGGAAAGUGAUGGCAUUGACGCGCCGGUGGCUCAUUCGCGCAGCAGCGGUAGGGGACGUUCCACGGUCUAAGAGCAACUCUAGCAGACCCCGCAAAAGAGGCAAACACGCAAAAGUCCGGCGAGUAUGCGGGUUAGGCCCAUUUUUUCGGCCAGAACAGAGCCCGCAUACUCGCCCGGCUCGUAAAAAAAAUUGUCGCGGCCCGCAUAACGCACGCUCCGACCACUAUAUCUACGGUUCCGCAGCGCGUUUGCGGGUCGAAACCCUAUCCCCCGCCGUCGCCGAGCCCCGCGAUUCCCCACCCCUUCCGCACAUUUCUCGUCGCCGCAAUAUGGAGCUCCAGACGCGGCUCCGGCAGCAGAUCCGGCGGCGGAAGCGACCCGGAGCGCGAGCGGCGCGUCGAGUCGGACGCCGCGAGGAAGGGCGGGGCCCGGAGGUGGACCAACCGCGGCAUUUCGCCGCCGGCGAGCUUCCGCGUUCGGGAGACACAGGAGUACGACCGACGACAGGUCGUCGCGGGCUCGUCUUCAGCCGCGGGCUCCUCAUCUUUCGCGCCCCUUCUCCCUGUGAAUAGGCAGUGGUCGGAGGAGCCGGAGGACGUCGUCGCCGUCAAGGAGGAGCCCGAGGAGCUCGGCCGCCGCGGAGUCGUCGGGCCGGAGGACUUCGUCGCCGACGUGAAAGCCGUUGCGGCAGCCAUUGCCGAGCGCAGCUUGCAUGAGGAGGCGGAGCGCCGGCGCCACGACGAGGAGAUCGAAGACCUCGAGUGGCGGCAGGCAAUCGAGGCCAACAUCGCCGCCAAGGCGAAGGACGACGAGUGGCGGCGCAUCCGCCAGGAGCAGAAGGCAAUGUACAUCGACCUCGGCAGCUCCGACGAGGAGAACUGAGCUUAUUUUAUGUAAUCUAUGUAGUACGUAACCUAUGUAGUAUGUAGUAUGAACUUUCCAUGAAACUAUAUUUUCAAAUUAUACAGUUUCGUUUUACGGUUUCUGUUCGGCCGCGUUCACUUUCGACCCGUAAACAAGAUCUAAGUGAAAUCGCAAAUGCGUUUUGCGGGUUCAGAUUUUGCGGGGUGUGCUAGAGUUGCUCUAAAGAGCGUAUGCAUGAGAUAUUCCAUGCUUCUGAUGAACUACCGUAAUGUAUCUGAAUAUCUUUUGAAAGAAUUUUUUUUAUAUGUUGAAAUUAGUAGUGGGCUUUAGGCCCAUUAGAGAAUUUCAGAAAAAUCUCCAAGGGCCCAUGUAGGUGGUGGCUUGACAAGGUGGUGGGAAGUUUAGUCCCACCCCGCUAGUGGAGGAGAAGUUGGACCCCUUUAUAAGGGUCUCUCUUCCACAUGCUAUUGGAGAGUGAGAAGAGAAGGUGCCUUCGCACACUCCUCCUCCGCCGCCCGCCGCGCCGCGACGCGCCGCGGGAAUGAGCCGAGCCGACCUCAUACCUACGUGCUUAUUUUUGUCGGUCAGGAACGGAGAAUACGUAACGGACACGGCACGAUCCGAGACAUCGGCCCACGUCUCUCCGCCCAGCCGCCUUUAUAAGCAGGCUAACGCCUACCCUAUCCGUCACGAGAACCAGAUCACAUCUGCCUCACGCGUUCGUUCCUUGACUGCUGCUGCCGCCGGCGACUCCGCCCCGUUUACCGCGUACACGGUCGACGGGAGAGCAGGCCUACGAAACCCCGCCUCUCCGGUUCCAGUACGGGAGAGGGGCAAUUAGGUUUUUGGGGAGCGAUCACGCGACUGCUCGCCUCCGUCCGUCUGCUUCGUCUACAUCCGCGUUGUCCUCGUCAUCGCCAUGUCUUCACCAUCUGAGGCUGAUCGUCUCGCCCUUGAAGCUGAGAAGAAGAGGGCAAAGGAUGCUGCUGCUGCUGCUACGGCCGCGUCCAACGCCAACGCUGCUGCUACGGCCAACUGGCCUAUUGGAGGGUAUGACUUGUUUAUCCUCAUGUUCGUAUUUAUCCUAGCAGUACUACUUGUUUCCAUAGAUGUAUCCACUAUAUGCUAGUAUGUGCUAGGUUAGCUCAAGAUCAGUACAUCAUUAGUCUAGUCAAUGCCAUGCUAGUUAUUAUCUCGUGGAUUAAUAUACUUGGAAAAUUGCCUAUUUACUCAACAUUCCAAAAACCUAAUAUGUGUAGGAAUUUUUUGAGUAAUGGUUUUGCUGCUGCACUGAAACCGGACAAGUUUACCGGUACUUAUUUCAAGCGUUGGCAAACGAGAACCACCUUAUGGCUCACGGUUAUGAACGUGUUCUGGGUAGCCGGUGUCACUCCAACGGAAACGAUCUCUCCUGAACAGGAGAAGAUGUUCGCGGAGGCCACCAUCAUAUUCCUUGGAGCAGUCAUAAGCGUGAUCGGAGAUAAGCUGGUUGACGCAUACUUACAUAUGCAUGUUGCCAAAGACUUGUGGGAGGCGCUCGAAUCUAAAUUCGGGGCCACCGACGCUGGGAGUGAGAUGUAUGUUAUGGAGCAGUUCCACGAUUACAAGAUGGUUGACAAUCGUUCUGUAUUGGAACAGGCUCAUGAGAUAAUAUGCAUAGCUAAAGAACUUGAGGUUCUUAAGUGCAAUUUGCCGGGAAAGUUUAUCGCGGGCUGUAUAAUUGCUAAGCUCCCUAAUUCCUGGAGGAACUUUGCUACCACUCUGAAACAUCAGAGGCGUGAGUUCUCAGUAGAGGACAUCAUCGCCCAUCUGAGUGUUGAGCAGAACUCGAGAGCAAAGGACUCCAAUGGAAAAGCGGUGGAAAGCUCUUCUGUUGCCAAUAUGGUACAUCAGAGGAACUUCAAUUCCCACAAGCCCAAGGGAAAGAAUUCUGUCCAACACAAGACUGACUUCAAGAAGAAGGGAAAGAAGCCCGUCAAGAAGAAUAAGAAGGGAGAUGGCUGCUAUACUUGUGGUUCAGAGGAACAUUGGGUGAACAAAUGCCCAAACAAGUACAAGAAGCCGGCGCAAGACUCCAAGUCUGCCAAUAUGAUUGUGGGCAACAAUGAAAGUGGUGCAUCUGGGUACGGUAAUUUACUUACUGUAUUUUCAGUUUGUCAGUCCACCGAUUGGUGGGUUGACACGGGUGCAAAUAUUCAUGUGUGUGCUGACUUAUCAUUGUUCUCUUCUUAUCAGGCCACUGGUCGCGGGUCCGUAUUGAUGGGGAAUGGCGCGAGUGCUUCUGUUCUUGAUGUUGGCACGGUCGAUCUGAAGUUUACUUCGGGAGGAUCGUGCAGCUGAAGAACGUGCAGCAUGUCCCCGCCAUCAAGAAGAAACUCGUUAGUGGCUCCCUUCUGUGUAGAGAAGGGUUUAAGUUGGUAUUCGAGUCUAAUAAAGUAGUUGUUACGAAAUAUGGACUUUUCGUUGGAAAAGGUUAUUAAUGCGGAGGUCUGUUCCACCUUUCUCUUGCAGAUUUUUAUAAUAAAGUCGUGAACAAUAUUCAUCAGAGUGUUAAUGAAUCUGAAGCUUGGCAUUCACGUCUUUGUCACAUAAGUUUCGGUGUUAUGUCGCGGCUAGCAAAACUGAAUUUAAUCCCAACUUUCACUUUAGCCAAAGGUUCUAAGUGUCAUUCGUGUGUGCAAGCAAAGCAACCUCGCAAGCCUCACAAGGCUGCAGAGGAGAGACACUUGGCACCAUUAGAACUCAUACAUUCUGAUCUUUGUGAGAUGAAUAAUGUGUUGACUAAAGGUGGAAAGAAAUAUUUCAUGACAUUGAUAUAUGAUUUCACUGGAUAUUGCUAUGUGUAUCUGUUAAAUACUAAAGAUGAGGCUCUACACUACUUUAAAAUCUAUAAGGUAGAAGUUAAGAAUCAACUUGAAAAGAAGACUAAAAGAAAAUCGAUAAGAGGAUGCUGCUGCUACGGCCGCGUCCAACGCAACGCUGCUGCUAGGGCCAACUGGUCUAUUGAAUGGUAUGACUUGUUUAUCCUCAUGUUCGUAUUUAUCUUAACGGUACUACUUGUUUGCAUAGAUGUAUCCACUAUAUGCGUAGUAUGUGCUAGGUUAGCUCAAUUUCAGUACAUCAUUAGUCUAGUCAAUGUCAUGUUAGUUAUUAUCUCGUGAAUGAAUAUACUCAAAAAAUUGCCUAUUUACUCAACAUUAUAUUGGUGAUCGAUCGAUUGAUGGUGCUCGCAUCCUGAAAAAAAGAAAUGGAUUGAUCGUGCUCGCCGCAAGCGCGUGUACGUCCCCUGGCCGGGCCGCGUGGGCAUAGACGUACACUGUUGUUGCCCCGCUCACCCCGGGUCGAUCGGGAGUGCGGUGCGCGGGAGUCGCGGACGGGCCAACAACCAGCCAUCCAACCAGCGUUCGUGCUCGUCCAACGGCCGCCGACCGCGACGUCCGUUCCGUUCCGUUGGACCUCAUGCAUCCUCAUCUUUUUAUAUUCUUUUUCGAGUACAUCCUGAUCAUGUUAUAGGGAUUACGGGGGCACGCACCGUGGUGGCAACUCAUUCGCGCUGUCCAAAUCGAUUCUUCAAGACCGGUGACGCGGCCAUCACGUGAGCCUGCUUUGCUUCACGCAAUUACUUUCUUUCAACCCAUUGUGAGAUCCAAUGGUUUAUAUAUAGUACAUCUGCAUACAUUCAUACCUAUCGACGUAUACGCAUACGUUCUUCUUUAUAAGCACCUUCGAAUUUGAAAGACUGAGUUCAUAUAUUAUCUUGAAAUUUUAUGAAGUCGUCAUCGAUACCACGUAGUCCUAGUCCACGGAAACAGAUACUUUUAUCAAACGCGCAUCAUCAAAGAUUCUGAAAUAAAUUUAAGAUAAAUGCGGACACCAGAACUUAACCCCCUUUUUUUAAAAAAGAGAAUAUAUUAAUAUCAAGAAGAUAUCAAUUACACCCAGCCUCUGCAUCAACAAGAUGUCUAAAAACAUUCAGGAUGCACACAGCCAAAAAAAAAGACCCUUCCAUGGUGAUAUGUCAUCCGCAGUAGCAACACUCUAACCACCUUCACAAGCACCUUCGGAUUUGAAAGACUGAGUUGAUAAAUUAUCUUCAAAUUUUAUGAAGUCGUCAUCGAUACAGCGUAGUCCUAGUCCACGAAAACAGUUACUUUUAUCGAGCACGCAUUAUCAAAAAUCCUAAAAUAAAUUUAGGCUAAAUGCGAGCACCAGAACUUAAAUUCUGGUGGGUUGCGAUACCACUCCCCUUCUAACUAUCUAACCACAUGUUGAUUUGCACGCAAUUACUACUACCACAAUCAAAUCAAAUCAAAUCAAUAGUAAAUCACAGUCUCAAAUGACUCGGUUAGGGCGUCUCUAACGCCAACUCGCAAAUUUCCUACCGGAUCUGUGCAUGGACAGGGGCGAUUAGUUUGUGGACACGUCGGAAGAAUGACAUCUAACCAUAGGCGCAUGCAUUUCAUUCCAUAUUUUAACAAAUCGAACGAAAUUCAUUCAAAUCGGACGAUAUUCAUCAAAGUUGGGAGAGAAAAUAGCACAAAUCAUUCAUACAUAUCAUGCAAAUUAAGCCUAAUACAACAAAGUCUCAAAUUAAGCAGAUGUCCAGCAAGUUUUUGACCGAAAGAUCAUGUCGUCCGACACAUACAACUCGUUCAGGUUCAUCCAAUAGUGUGUGCAUGUAAAAUAUCAUCUCAUUUUCCUGUGGUAUGUCAUGACAUCACGUACAGGCAACAUAUAAUGAAUGUACCAACAUUAAGUAAAUGAAUCAAUCAACAAGUUGAGUAAGAGAAAGCAAAAAACUUAUGAACCCAUCAUUUGCCGCCUGCAAUGGCCACAUUUUCUUGAACUAACAAACCUCGUUGCAGAACUUGGUGAUGAUGUUUUGGAUCAUGUGCUAGGGAUACGACCACGACUUUACAUUGCGUGAUUGAAUGAUGUACAUGUUGUAGGACUCGAUAUCAUUUUAUGAGUGGAAUGUUUGGUGCACUUGCAGCCAGAUGGGCCCAUCUGGUCCUGCCUUCAAAAUUCGUGCAUGCUUCCAACCACGCAUGAGAUAACACCUCAUCCUCCAUGGUCGAGUAGCUCACCAUCCUUCAAACUCUAAAAACGACAUAACAUUUGAAAAUAAGCUCAAUGAUAUUUGACCGAACACCUGUCGGAUGUGGUGACCGCCAUGAAGGUCGUCGACUGACGACGGAGAGUACCUGAAUACAAACGGCUACAGGUGGAAAGCUCCACCGCAGACGGCCAGCGAGCGUGUAUAUGUUGAUUGCGGGCCUUUCUGGCGACGUACAAGGAGCAACGACAACGGAAGUGAAGGGUGGAAAACAAGGGGUAUAAAGGGGUGAUUUGUAAGAAAAUGGGACCGGGGGGAGGAUUGGAUGGGCCGGGUGUCGGAUAACGAUGUUUCUCGCGUCCGGACUCCCGCAAAGCUUUCCAUUUUGUCUUAGAGGGUGAUUGGAUACGUUUUAAUCUCAUGACUAAAAAUAGUGGGACUAAAAUUUGGUAGCCUCACCCAUGCUUGGAUCCAAAUAGUAAAGAGACUAAAAUCAAAUUAAUGAGCAUUUAUUAUCCUCCAAACUCUCCAAUCCAGAACUCGCAUGUGUUAAAGGAGAGGAGUUAAAUGAGGAGAGAGGACUAAUCCACAUUUUAGUAGGGGUACCCCUGACUAAAUUUUUUUAGUCUCAAGACUGGUUUUAGCCCUUUUUAGCCUCUUAAAGAGACUAUUUUUAAUCAGACUAAAAUAAGUCGCUUAGAUUCAAACACCCUCUAAUUUGCAAGAAAAAUCUCAUUCGGACCACAUCAUGAAUCGAUAUAGAACCGCAUUGAAUGAUUUCUAUGGUUCUGACCUUGCAGUCCAAACUGUUGCAUGAGGAGUACUACUAUAAGCUACUCAAUCAGAUUGUCACGACGGAUCCAGAACAGUUUCACUCAAGAAGCAAGAGGGAGACCGACCGCAGUGCAUGUGGGCGUGUACUUUUCUGGGCUUGGGUGUGCUGACGGCGAGCUGUGUUCCACGGCCGCGUCACGCCCUAUGUAACGACGACGACCAGCGAUGCAUUUGAUGCCUAUCUGUUUUCUUGGCCGUGACCACUGAGAGCACGCAAUGCGAUGACGCAACCGCCAAACGCUGAUGCAUGCAUGCAACGACGGACGACGGAUGACUCGCCUCCCGUCCUGUUGUCGCGUCAAUGGUUAAAUAGACAACUCGCUCGUAUUACAAAUGAAUGGUUAAAUAGACAACUCGCUCGUAUUAGAAAUGCAGUGGUUAAAUAGACAACUCGCUCGUAUUACAAAUGCAAUGGUUAAAUAGACAACUCGCUCGUAUACAAUUUGGGAGGGCCAAAGCCAAAACAUGAACAACCAACAGGAAAAAUAAUUAACCUUUUUCCUUAUCUAAGACAUGCAUAGCACUACCUUUCUAUCUAGAUAAUUUAUAAUUAGAAAAAAAAUUAAUCUAAUUCUUUCCGACUACAAUUAUUUAGAUAUAGGAAAAAACUAAUCCAAUUCUUUCCGCCACUUGUAUGCACAUGAUGAACAAGUUGCCGUCUACGAGGGCACAUACAAGACGAAAGCAUACACGCAAAGCUACUUUGCAUAACUGAUAAUGUGAGGAUAUACGUAUUGUGCAACUAAAAAAGGCAUAUAUGUGCGUACAAACGCAUGGGCAUACACACUAGGGCCAAUGCAACCCAUCCACAUCCACGCACCCACCCA